AAACUGGAGAUCUAAAGAAGAACAAGUGUGACAGGCUAUGUCUAUGGCUACAUUAACAUCAACAGCUCAAAUUAAAUUUUUACCCAGCAGAUUUCUCACUGGAAUGUAAUAAAUCUCAGUUUGAAUGCUGCAGAGUUGAAGGAAAUAAGGAAGAAGGGAGAACAUUUACUGAACAGCAACUCCAACACAGUCACGUAAGAAAUUAAUUUCUUUAGUCCUACUCAAAGAUAGCAAUUAUGAUUCUUCAGUCCCUCAUAUGUAAAAUACAAUUUUCUCAUCAAAUAUUUAAUAUUUUUCUGUUAAACUGAAUUUAAUACUAUCAGAACAAUUAACACAGCAAAACAGACUUUCAUUUGACCAUACAGCAUCACACAAUAUGCAACACAUUAUUUUCAGAUAUCUUUAUAUAAAAAAGGGUUGAUAUCAACAUUUUUAAUGACAGAUAAUAUACAAUAUUGAGUUAUAAACAUACAAGCAUAGUAAUAAUAGCUAAUCACCUUUUAUGUGCCAAGUUUCCAUCAAAUAGCCUUUUAUUCAAAAAUAGAAACACAAAAGUAGUUAUCUUUAAAAACUGCAUACAGAAGUUAUAAUCUGCAUUCUGUUUGCAGUAACUGAAUUGGAAUUUAAAAGGCAUUCUCAAGUCAGUCUCGGACAGCG
ensembl:lncRNA